rnacentral:rRNA from 1 species
AUUGAACGCUGGCGGCAUGCCUUACACAUGCAAGUCGAACGGCAGCACGGGAGCUUGCUCCUGGUGGCGAGUGGCGAACGGGAGAGUAAUGCAUCGGAACGUGCCCUGAAGUGGGGGAUAACGUAGCGAAAGUUACGCUAAUACCGCAUAUUCUGUGAGCAGGAAAGCAGGGGAUCUUCGGACCUUGCGCUUUUGGAGCGGCCGAUGUCGGAUUAGCUAGUUGGUGGGGUAAAGGCCCACCAAGGCGACGAUCCGUAGCGGGUCUGAGAGGAUGAUCCGCCACACUGGAACUGAGACACGGUCCAGACUCUACGGGAGGCAGCAGUGGGGAAUUUUGGACAAUGGGCGCAAGCCUGAUCCAGCCAUGCCGCGUGAGUGAAGAAGGCC